UCCUCUUACAAAGGCGCACUUGCAUUGGUCUGCUUGCCUGUGCGUAAGAACUGGAGGAAUAAUAAAUGAAUGGUGACACUUUUAUCACUGGCUGCGGAUGCAGUUGGUCACUCACCAAUCAGACAUAU
rnacentral:snoRNA from 1 species